rnacentral:rRNA from 1 species
CGUGUAGGCGGGAAUUUUAAGUCAGAUAGUCGAAAGCCCAUGGCUCAACUGUGGAAUUGCAUCUGAAACUAAGUUUCUUGAGUGUUGGAGAGGAAAGUGGAAUUCCUAGUGUAGCGGUGAAAUGCGUAGAUAUUAGGAGGAACACCAGUGGCGAAGGCGACUUUCUGGACAAUAACUGACGCUGAGGCGCGAAAGUGUGGGGAGCAAACAGGAUUAGAUACCCUGGUAGUCCACACUGUAAACGAUGGAUACUAGGUGUAGGAGGUAUCGACCCCUUCUGUGCCGCAGCUAACGCAAUAAGUAUCCCACCUGGGGAGUACGGCCGACAAGGUUGAA